rnacentral:lncRNA from 1 species
AAGUGCUGCUAAAGAAGCAGGAACGCUGGCCAGCAAUUAAUCCCUACAAGUUGUAGGUGAGCCAUGAGGGACAUAGGGGAUGGAGUAUCCCAGGAACAGAACGUCCCAGAGAUGUUAAAACAGAUUUUAAAGAAACAUGGCAGGAAAGUUGAGUCUACAGAUUUGAACAGAGUCUUGUUCUGGGCAAAAGACUGUAAUUCAACUUUAGAGAGAACCAAUAUUUUUAAUCCUUGGACAUGGGACACUUCAGAUGCAUUGUGGAACCGAGUUACAUGUGGCGACGCAGAGCUGACAGAGCUUUUGUGUCAGUGGAAGACAGUGUGUAAGCCGCUCACAGCACAUGUGGCACCUGGAGACUGGACAAAGAAAGCCGCUUGUGCCACCGCAGCAGCCAUGCCGAGCCCUUCUGCACUGCCAAUGAGUGACCGUAAGUCUCUCAGGGCUGUGGGAGGAGAACCAGAAGAUGGCCCCUCGUCCCUUGACCCGUUUGACCCUGGAGGGAAGCCGGAUGGUCCCGUAGAAAAGCUUGCGCCGCCCUCUGCCAUGCGGCAUCAGCUGGAGCUGGGUCACAGUGAGUGGCUGGAGCUGGGGCGUCCCAUCCUGGUAGCGUGUUCCCUCUCUGUUUGCUCUCUGCGAAACUGCAGCAGCAGCAGCAGCGGCAGAUGCGGCAGGGGGGACAGGGAUCGCGCGACACCAGGGAGCACACGCUGGCAAGCACAUGGUGGUGUGGCACCAGCGAGCACAUGGCAGAGCUGCGCCGUGUCGGCAAGCGCAUGGCGGCGAGCCAUAGUGGCGAGCACAUGGCAAAGCUGUGCCACGGCCGCACCCAGCAGCCGCCCCCACGCCGCGGAUGGGCAAGAUUGGCAGUGCUGGAGGCUGGCGGGGCUGCGGCUCCGCUCAACGCAUGGCGGGGUCCAUGAGCGGCUCUCUGCAUGUGGGAGGUGAGGAGAUGGGCCAGCGGACCUCUGCUGGCCGCCCGACCUGCGCAGCCAGCGGGGCUGGCGCAG